rnacentral:rRNA from 1 species
AACGCGAAGAACCUUACCUGGGCUUGACAUCCUCGGAAUCCUCCAGAAAUGGGGGAGUGCCUUCGGGAGCCGAGAGACAGGUGGUGCACGGUUGUCGUCAGCUCGUGUCGUGAGAUGUUGGGUUAAGUCCCGCAACGAGCGCAACCCUCGUUGUCUGUUGCUACAGGCUGCAAAGUGCUGAGCACUCAGGCGAGACUGCCGGUGACAAACCGGAGGAAGGUGGGGAUGACGUCAAAUCAUCAUGCCCCUUAUGUCCAGGGCUACACACGUGUUACAAUGGGAUAGGACAACGGGCAGCAAGCUAGCAAUAGCAAGCUAAUCCCUUAAACCUACCCUCAGUUCGGAUUGGAGUCUGCAACUCGACUCCAUGAAGUCGGAAUCGCUAGUAAACGCGGAUCAGCCAUGCCGCGUUGAAUACGUUCCCGGGCCUUGUACACACCGUACGUC